UACGGAGGAGGCAAGCGUUAUCCGGAAUUAUUGGGCGGAAAGCGUCCGCAGGUGGCACUUCAAGUCUGUCGUCAAAGACUGGGGCUUAACCCUGGAAAGGCGGUGGAAACUGAAGCGCUAGAGUGCGGUAGGGGUAGAGGGAAUUCCCGGUGUAGCGGUGAAAUGCGUAGAUAUCUGGAGGAACACCGGUGGCGAAGGCGGCAUUCUGGACCGAAACUGACGCUGAGGCGCGAAAGCCAGGGGAGCAAACGGG
rnacentral:rRNA from 1 species